rnacentral:rRNA from 1 species
GACGAACGCUGGCGGCGUGCUUAACACAUGCAAGUCGAACGAAGUGGCGAACGGGUGAGUAACGAGUAAUCAACCUGCCAUUCAGAGGGGGACAACAGUUGGAAACGACUGCUAAUACCGCAUACUGAAGGAGGGGAGUGCGUCGGAGUAGCUAGUUGGGGGGGUAACGGCCCACCAAGUCGAUGAUCAGUAGCCGGGCGGUGAGGAUGAACGGCCACAUUGGGACUGAGACACGGCCCAGACUCCGUCGGGAGGCAGCAGUGGGGAAUCGUCCGCAAUGGACGAAAGUCUGACAGAGCAACGCCGCGUGAGUGAUGACGGCCUUCGGGUGGUAAAGCUCUGUUAAUCGGGACGCGGUACCGGAAUAGAAAGCCACGGCUAACUACGUGCCAGCAGCCGCGGUAAUUC